UACGAAGGGGGCUAGCGUUGCUCGGAAUCACUGGGCGUAAAGCGCACGUAGGCGGACUCUUAGGUCGGUGGUGAAAUCCCGUGGCUCAACCAUGGACGUGCAUUCGAAACUGCGAGGCUUGAGUAUGGAAGAGGGUCGCGGAAUUCCCGGUGUAGAGGUGAAAUUCGUAGAUAUCGGGAGGAACACCAGUGGCGAAGGCGGCGACCUGGGCCAAUACUGACGCUGAGGUGCGAAAGCGUGGGGAGCAAACAGG
rnacentral:rRNA from 1 species